rnacentral:lncRNA from 10 species
CCAGAACUGUAAAUAUAAACCUAAAUAUUUGGCCAAUAGUUUUCAGACUUAAAGCAUCAUAGUCCUUUUAUAUUUGUCUUUGUAUUUUAUAAGAUACUCUGUAAUGUCAUGUUUGUACUUACAGUUUUAGAAUUUAAUUUCCUGUACAACUUUUUGUAAAAUGUUCUGCUCCUAUUUUAAAUGUUUUGAAACAUGCUAAAUAUUCUUUCCUAAUUAUUUUAUCGCUUAUACUGCCUUUUUUAUAGCUUCAAUUAAAUAAUUGGUUUUAUGACUAAAAAAAAAAAAAAAAAAAAUUGUUAAGAAAGACCAGGCCCGGUGGCUCAUGCCUGUAAUCUCAGCAUUAAUAGGAGUGUGAACUACUAUUUUUCUUUCUUAAGUUCCGGGGUACAUGUGCAGAACAUGCAGGUGUGUUACACAGGUAAACAUGUGCCACGGUGGUUUGCCG